rnacentral:rRNA from 1 species
AGAGUUUGAUCAUGGCUCAGAACGAACGCUGGCGGCGUGGAUAAGACAUGCAAGUCGAGCGAGAUUUUUCGUUGUAGCAAUACGAUGGAAAGUCUAGCGGCGAACGGGUGCUUAACACGUGGGCAACCUGCCAUGAAGUGGGGGAUAGCUCGCCGAAAGGCGAAUUAAUACCGCAUGUGAUUAGAGAGGACAUCCUUUCGAAAUUAAAGUCGGGGCAACCUGACGCUUCUUGUGGGGCCCGCGGCCUAUCAGCUAGUUGGUGAGGUAACGGCUCACCAAGGCUUUGACGGGUAGCUGGUCUGAGAGGACGACCAGCCACACUGGGACUGAGACACGGCCCAGACACCUACGGGUGGCAGCAGUCGAGAAUUUUUGACAAUGGGGGAAACCCUGAUCGAGCGACGCCGCGUGGAGGAUGAAGGUCUUCGGAUUGUAAACUCCUGUCAUUGGGGAACAAGGUGCAUACGUUAACUGCGUGUGUAUUGAUAGUACCCGAAGAGGAAGGGACGGCUAACUCUGUGCCAGCAGCCGCGGUAAUACAGAGGUCUCAAGCGUUGUUCGGAUUCAUUGGGCGUAAAGGGUGCGUAGGCGGCGCGGUAAGUCGGGUGUGAAAUCUCGGAGCUUAACUCCGAAACUGCAUUCGAUACUGCCGUGCUUGAGGACUGGAGAGGAGACUGGAAUUUACGGUGUAGCGGUGAAAUGCGUAGAUAUCGUAAGGAAGACCAGUGGCGAAGGCGGGUCUCUGGACAGUUCCUGACGCUGAGGCACGAAGGUCAGGGGAGCAAACGGGAUUAGAUACCCUAGUAGUCC